rnacentral:misc_RNA from 1 species
AACGCACAUUGCGCCUCUCUUUACCGGGAGGCAUGCCUGUCUGAGCGUCAUUUAAACCAAUGAACAAUUAACUUUGUUCGUAUUGGGUUUCACCCUCUAGGUGUUACCUUAAAGCAAUUGGUCUAUAUUAGCGGACGAGAUCCUUUAGGACUAAACCGUGAAUUAAACCAAAAAACUUCUGAUUUUGACCUCAGAUCAGGUAGGGAUACCGCCUGAACUUAA